ACGGGUGAGUAAUAUAUCGGAACGUGCCCAAUCGUGGGGGAUAACGUAGAGAAAUUUACGCUAAUACCGCAUACGAUCUAAGGAUGAAAGCGGGGGAUCGCAAGACCUCGUGCGAUUGGAGCGGCUGAUAUCAGAUUAGGUUGUUGGUGAGGUAAAAGCUCACCAAGCCGACGAUCUGUAGCUGGUUUGAGAGAACGACCAGCCACACUGGGACUGAGACACGGCCCAGACUCCUACGGGAGGCAGCAGUGGGGAAUUUUGGACAAUGGGCGAAAGCCUGAUCCAGCAAUGCCGCGUGCAGGAAGAAGGCCUUCGGGUUGUAAACUGCUUUUGUACGGAACGAAACGGCUCUUUCUAAUAAAGAGGGCUAAUGACGGUACCGUAAGAAUAAGCACCGGCUAACUACGUGCCAGCAGCCGCGGUAAUACGUAGGGUGCGAGCGUUAAUCGGAAUUACUGGGCGUAAAGCGUGCGCAGGCGGUUAUAUAAGACAGUUGUGAAAUCCCCGGGCUCAACCUGGGAAUUGCAUCUGUGACUGUAUAGCUAGAGUACGGUAGAGGGGGAUGGAAUUCCGCGUGUAGCAGUGAAAUGC
rnacentral:rRNA from 1 species